AUUGAACGCUGGCGGCAGGCCUAACACAUGCAAGUCGAACGAGUGGCGGACGGGAGAGUAAUGUCUGGGAAACUGCCUGAUGGAGGGGGAUAACUACUGGAAACGGUAGCUAAUACCGCAUACCAUCGGAUGUGCCCAUAGGGGAUUAGCGAGUAGGUGGGGUAACGGCUCACCUAGGCGACGAUCCCUAGCUGGUCUGAGAGGAUGACCAGCCACACUGGAACGGAGACACGGUCCAGACUCCUACGGGAGGCAGCAGUGGGGAAUAUUGCACAAUGGGCGCAAGCCUUAUGCAGCCAUGCCGCGUGUAUGAAGAAGGCCUUCGGGUUGUAAAGUACUUUCAGCGAGGAGGCGUUACCCGCAGAAGAAGCACCGGCUAACUCCGUGCCAGCAGCCGCGGUAAUAC
rnacentral:rRNA from 1 species